rnacentral:rRNA from 1 species
CAGAACGAACGCUGGCGGCGCGUCUUAAGCAUGCAAGUCGAACGGCAAGAGGUAGCAAUACCUCCUAGAGUGGCGGACUGGUGAGUAACACGUGGGUGACAUACCCUUCAGAUGGGGAUAGCUAUUAGAAAUAGUAGAUAAUACCGAAUACGAGCACAGGGGUUAGAGAUCUGUGAGGAAAGGAGCUAAGGCUCCGCUGAAGGAAUGGCCUGCGGCCCAUUAGCUAGUUGGUGAGGUAAGAGCCCACCAAGGCGAUGAUGGGUAUCCGGCCUUAGAGGGUGAACGGACACAUUGGGACUGAGAUACGGCCCAGACUCCUACGGGAGGCAGCAGCUAAGAAUAUUCCGCAAUGGACGAAAGUCUGACGGAGCGACGCCGCGUGGAUGAAGAAGGCCGGAAGGUUGUAAAAUCCUUUUGAAACUGAAGAAUAAGCGUUGUAGGGAAUGACAGCGUGGUGACAGUAGGUUUUGAAUAAGCAACGGCUAAUUACGUGCCAGCCGCCGC